rnacentral:rRNA from 1 species
UCCUACGGGAGGCAGCAGUAGGGAAUCUUCCGCAAUGGACGAAAGUCUGACGGAGCAACGCCGCGUGAGUGAUGAAGGUUUUCGGAUCGUAAAACUCUGUUGUUAGGGAAGAACAAGUACCGGAGUAACUGCCGGUACCUUGACGAUACCUAACCAGAAAGCCACGGCUAACUACGUGCCAGCAGCCGCGGUAAUACGUAGGUGGCAAGCGUUGUCCGGAAUUAUUGGGCGUAAAGCGCGCGCAGGCGGUUCCUUAAGUCUGAUGUGAAAGCCCCCGGCUCAACCGGGGAGGGUCAUUGGAAACUGGGGAACUUGAGUGCAGAAGAGAAGAGUGGAAUUCCACGUGUAGCGGUGAAAUGCGUAGAGAUGUGGAGGAACACCAAUGGCGAAGGCAGAUCUCUGGGCCGUAACUGACGCUGAGGAGCGAAAGCAUGGGGAGCGAACAGGAUUAGAUACCCUGGUAGUCCAUGCCGUAAACGUUGGGAACUAGAUGUGGGGACCAUUCCACGGUCUCCGUGUCGCAGUUAACGCAUUAAGUUCCCCGCCUGGGGAGUACGGCCGCAAGGCUAAAACUCAAAGGAAUUGACGGGGGCCCGCACAAGCGGCGGAGCAUGCGGAUUAAUUCGAUGCAACGCGAAGAACCUUACCAAGGCUUGACAUAUACCGGAAACGGCUGGAAACAGUCGCCCCGCAAGGUCGGUAUACAGGUGGUGCAUGGUUGUCGUCAGCUCGUGUCGUGAGAUGUUGGGUUAAGUCCCGCAACGAGCGCAACCCUCGUCCUAUGUUGCCAGCACGUAAUGGUGGGAACUCAUGGGAUACUGCCGGGGUCAACUCGGAGGAAGGUGGGGAUGACGUCAAAUCAUCAUGCCCCUUAUGUCUUGGGCUUCACGCAUGCUACAAUGGCCGGUACAAAGGGCUGCGAUACCGCAAGGUGGAGCGAAUCCCAAAAAGCCGGUCUCAGUUCGGAUUGAGGUCUGCAACUCGACCUCAUGAAGUCGGAGUCGCUAGUAAUCGCAGAUCAGCAACGCUGCGGUGAAUACGUUCCCGGGCCUUGUACACACCGCC